ensembl:lncRNA
GGUUUCUAGACUCUGUGUUUGGUUUCUAGACUCUGUGUUUGGUAGGCGUUGGGUUUCUAGACUCUGUGUUUGGUAGGCGUUGGGUUUCUAGAUUCUAGAUUCUAGACACGUUAAUUAAUGCAGUGUUUUUGAUUAUUAACCACAUGAACUUUUUUCAUUCUGACUCAGUCCUCAACCUUUAGACUUCCAUGGCUUUUAACAGUAGGACCUAGUGAGGUUGAGAACAGGACAGCACAGUUUUGUGUCUCUCUGUGUGUGUGUUUGCGUGUGUGUGUGUGUGUGUGUGUGUUUUCUAUAUCUGAUAUACCCUUUCUCAUAUUUUGCAUACUUUGCUGCGUCUUGUAGUUCAGAGCAGUGCGGAGGAAUUAUGGGGUUAAUGACGCAUUCAAAUUGACCAAAUGGGUAAGGUUGAGUGCUCCAGCAGUUGAAGUUGGGAAAACACUGCUGCUAGGAAACUGGGAAAUAUGGAGACCAAAAAAUAAGAUCCCAGAUAUUCAGAUAGUUAGGACAUAGCGAUUAAGUCUU